CCUACGGGCGGCAGCAGUGAGGAAUAUUGGUCAAUGGACGCAAGUCUGAACCAGCCAUGCCGCGUGCAGGAAGACGGCUCUAUGAGUUGUAAACUGCUUUUGUACGAGGGUAAACGCAGAUACGCGUAUCUUUCUGAAAGUAUCUUACGAAUAAGGAUCGGCUAACUCCGUGCCAGCAGCCGCGGUAAUACGGAGGAUUCAAGCGUUAUCCGGAUUUAUUGGGUUUAAAGGGAGCGUAGGCGGUCGGAUAAGUUAGAGGUGAAAUCCCGAGGCUCAACUUCGGAAUUGCCUCUGAUACUGUCAGGCUAGAGAGUAGUUGAGGUAGGCAGAAUGUAUGGUGUAGCGGUGAAAUGCUUAGAGAUCAUAAAGAACACCGAUUGCGAAGGCAGCUUACCAAGCUACUACUGACGUUGAGGCACGAAAGCGUGGGGAGCAAACAGGAUUAGAUACCCUGGUAGUC
rnacentral:rRNA from 1 species